rnacentral:rRNA from 1 species
AGGGGUAUAGUUCUUCGGAGCUAGAGACCGGCGCACGGGUGCGUAACGCGUAUGCAAUCUACCUUUUACAGAGGGAUAGCCCAGAGAAAUUUGGAUUAAUACCUCAUAGUAUGUGAGAAUCGCAUGGUUUUCACAUUAAAGUCACAACGGUAAAAGAUGAGCAUGCGUCCCAUUAGCUUGUUGGUAAGGUAACGGCUUACCAAGGCAACGAUGGGUAGGGGUCCUGAGAGGGAGAUCCCCCACACUGGUACUGAGACACGGACCAGACUCCUACGGGAGGCAGCAGUGAGGAAUAUUGGACAAUGGGCGCAAGCCUGAUCCAGCCAUGCCGCGUGCAGGAUGACGGUCCUAUGGAUUGUAAACUGCUUUUGUACAGGAAGAAACACUCCCUCGUGAGGGAGCUUGACGGUACUGUAAGAAUAAGGAUCGGCUAACUCCGUGCCAGCAGCCGCGGUAAUACGGAGGAUCCAAGCGUUAUCCGGAAUCAUUGGGUUUAAAGGGUCCGUAGGCGGUUUAAUAAGUCAGUGGUGAAAGCCCAUCGCUCAACGGUGGAACGGCCAUUGAUACUGUUAAACUUGAAUUAUUAGGAAGUAACUAGAAUAUGUAGUGUAGCGGUGAAAUGCUUAGAGAUUACAUGGAAUACCAAUUGCGAAGGCAGGUUACUACUAAUGGAUUGACGCUGAUGGACGAAAGCGUGGGUAGCGAACAGGAUUAGAUACCCUGGUAGUCCACGCCGUAAACGAUGGAUACUAGCUGUUGGGAGCAAUCUCAGUGGCUAAGCGAAAGUGAUAAGUAUCCCACCUGGGGGAGUACG